rnacentral:lncRNA from 1 species
UUAUAACUCCACUGGAGUAUGUAAUAACAAUUAUUGAAAUAAUACUUAUGAUUUAUCUAUUACAGAGAAAUAUGCCAUAUUUUUAGAAAUAAAACGGUUGCGAGGAGGUUAAGAUAUUCUUGGCAUUGUCACUACUGUGGACAGAAUGUGGAGGAAUGCCAGUAUUCUCUCUGAUGAAACCUCCAGGGAGUCUAAGGUAAGAGUUUGAAGAUAGAA